rnacentral:misc_RNA from 1 species
GAUGAAGAACGUAGUGAAAUGCGAUAAGUAGUGUGAAUUGCAGAAUUCAGUGAAUCAUCGAAUCUUUGAACGCACAUUGCGCCCUUUGGUAUUCCAAAGGGCAUGCCUGUUCGAGCGUCAUUUGUACCCUCAAGCUUUGCUUGGUGUUGGGCGUCUUGUCUCUCUCCCGAGACUCGCCUUAAAAUCAUUGGCAGCCGGCCUACUGGUUUCGGAGCGCAGCACAUUAUUUGCGCUCUUGUCCAGCCGCGGUCGCGCGUCCAUGAAGCUUCUUUCAAACUUUUGACCUCGGAUCAGGUAGGGAUACCCGCUGAACUUAAGCAUAUCAAUAAGCGGAGGA